ACGAACGCUGGCGGCAUGCCUAACACAUGCAAGUCGAACGAGACCUUCGGGUCUAGUGGCGCACGGGUGCGUAACGCGUGGGAACCUGCCCUUAGGUUCGGAAUAACUCCCCGAAAGGGGUGCUAAUACCGGAUAAUGUCUUCGGACCAAAGAUUUAUCGCCUUUGGAUGGGCCCGCGUUGGAUUAGCUAGUUGGUAGGGUAAAAGCCUACCAAGGCGACGAUCCAUAGCUGGUCUGAGAGGAUGAUCAGCCACACUGGGACUGAGACACGGCCCAGACUCCUACGGGAGGCAGCAGUGGGGAAUAUUGGACAAUGGGCGAAAGCCUGAUCCAGCAAUGCCGCGUGAGUGAUGAAGGCCUUAGGGUUGUAAAGCUCUUUUACCCGGGAUGAUAAUGACAGUACCGGGAGAAUAAGCUCCGGCUAACUCCGUA
rnacentral:rRNA from 1 species